UGACGCCCCUCCAAGGCUCCAGCUCGGGAGCAACUUUCCUGUAGGUCGGUGCGCUGCUGGCGGGGGCUGCUGAGAGCAAGGUUGAGAGCUGGAACCAGGAGGGGCCGCGAAUAAAGAGUCUGGAGCAGAGGGGUCCCGGCCUCGCCCGCCCAAAUUGGGUCCAGGAAUCGGCUGGACGUGGACCUCCAUACCCCGCGGGGAUGCCGCUCGGGGAGGGCAGAGACCGGAAGUGCAGUCUGUGACCUGGGCGGCACGAGCAGUAUGGGACCCUCCCUCCGCUGCUCCUGCUUGUGUUGAGAUGGAUUUUGAAGAGGGAAAUACUGACUAAUCCAUGAAAAUCCUCUCCCAGUCUAACUCCUUUCGAAACUGCCUGUGGCUGCCUGCUGGUACAGUGCCAACGAUUUCAGAAAAAUAAAAAUAAAAGAUGUUCCUGUCGUCUAAAUGCUUUCUUCACACAGUUCGAAAGACUUCAUUUUGAUCCAAGAGCGAAAUAAAACAUCAGGCUAAUAUGAAAUCUUUAAAAUAAAAAUACACAAAAUCAAAGGUACUUUUCAGAAAGGAAACUGGAGAAAGUAUGCGUGUUUCAGGCAUUUAGACUUUCGUGUCAAUUUACCCAAAGGUGUGUGAUCUCACUCAAGCUUUGUUUCUACUUUUCACCAUUGCUUCUCCUUGUUAUUGUUCUUGAAUAGGGGCUGUUUUACUGGUGGAGGGAGAUGCUUACAGCAGCAAAGUGGACACAUUUAGGUACCCAGUGACCAAGUUAAAGAAGGGAAGAAAGAUAAAACACCUAGUAGAGAAAUUUUGCUCAAAGCUCUCCUCAGAGGGAGAAUGUCACUGAAGGAGGUAUGCCAUUAUCCGGGUCCCGGCCUACAGAGUCAAGUCAGGCCUGGAAGGAAGGCACCCACUGGAAAUAAAGUAAAAGGGGAAGUUGUUGUCUUCGGAGCCCAGGAAGGGCCUGCAUGAAGAGUUACGUUGACGCCUGUGUGACGGAGACCUCCUGUGAGGGUAAAGGGCUACAGGAAAUGCCACACAAGUCUCAGAGUGUGCCUAGUUUAGUUUUCUAGCCCUGAGGGUUAGAACGCUAAUCUUUUGUAAAUGCGAAGGGGACCCAGAGGUGGAGGGAAGGGAAGGGAGAAGGGAAGGGGGGUAAAAAGAAUUAAAAUGUGUUAUGUACAAGUCCCAGUUCCCCACUAUGAAAGUGAUCGUUAUGUACUGCAAACAUGUACAAAUAACUUUUUAAAAAUUUUAACAAGCUGAUAAGCUAAAAUGGAGCUAAGAAAAUAUCAGCGAGCCACUGUAGGUGAAGACCUGAUGAUUAAGCUUCAGUGAUCCAGUCUGAACUGGGCUUUGAGAACAGUACUCUCAUAUCCAGGAGAUGUUACAGCCUGCAGUAUACCACGGUGACUUCUGUCUUACCUGCAGUGAGGGACAGAAGAAGUGGCUGUCUCAGGCAGCUCUGCAUCUGUGGGGCGCAUCUCCACACUGCCCCUCUUACCCUUCUAGGUCCACUCACACAGCACUCGGCUCAGUUUUCCUGAAUGGAGAAGGCUCUCUUUUGUUCUGCAGGGAUUUUAUACAUGUUGUUUCUUCCUUAAUGUGCCUCCGUCUCACCUGGCUCCCGCCUACUCAGCUUUCAAGUCUCAGUUUAAAUGCCAUUUCCUCCUAGCGGCUUCCCCUGACAACCUCCCACCAACUACAUUAGUCCCCUAAUUACAUUCCCAAGUCAUACUACCGAUCCCAUUUCACAAUAUUCCUCACUCAGGACUCUAAGCUAGCUCUACCCGGUUCAUGGUGUGUCUGCUCAGUGAGUAGCAUACGGUGCUGAUCCAGCAAAGGUAACCAAGAGCAAGUGGCAACAGGCAGAUGCAGCCUGCCUGGCUCAGCAUCCCCACGUUCACCUUAGCUAUGUAGCUGACAGUUGUGAUUGUGCACAAACCGUGAGUCACCACUAGCUACUGUCUUUUUAGCUGUACAAGUACAAGGGGGAGGAAAGGAAGCUCAUUAUACAGAAAAUAGUUUUCUACCAUUAAUGAGGCAUUGUAUUUAUACAACAACUUCUUUUCCUUUUCAGAGCAGCUUUUGAAGGUCACUAUCUUAGUUUUAAUAGCAUUGGGAAAUACUCAACCACAGUCAUUUAAAUUUUUUAUCUUUCUUUAAAAAGCAGCCUCAAUAUUCACAUGUUUUAUUUCUAUAGACCAAGAACAAACAAAUAAAUCCAUUUGGGGAGCAGCUAGCUGAUUUGACCAAUAUGAGCAGGACUUCUAGUAUUCUACUUUUUCUGAAUAGAAUGGGAAACCUUUUCUGCUUUCAGUCUAAAUCACUGAAUGAUUGUCAAAUCCCCUUUCAUCUGGGACUACUUCUAAAAAUUUAGUAGACACUGGAAGACAUAAAGGAAAUGUAAAGUUAAUCUCAAAAUUUUAGAAUGGAUAUAUGGCAAAACUGGAAACAGAACAAAGAUAUGAGUUUAAUCUUUACUUUAAUCUUUACUGCAUCUAUUGUCUGUAGAUAUGUUUUAUAAGUUCCCCAGUUCUAUUAGGUGAUUAGAACAAAUCUUGUACUUUAAAUUAAAUGUUUAAAAAGCACACCCAUUACAUUAGAAUAUGUCCAAAUUGUAAUCUCACCACUGAAUCCUGUCCCUCCUUGUAAUGACCACAGAUGUAAUGCUCAUCUUGUCUCUUACUAACUGCUGAAAGAAUGAGUUAUUUUAUUAUGUAGUAGAUUGCACAUUAACACUCCUCAGAGCUCUGAAAUGUCUCUCAAGCUUCCCCUUGAGGCAUAUUUCUGAAUCUCCCUGUUUCCUCAGAGAAACCAUGAGGAUAUUAUGAAGCUUACAAGAUAUAUAAUGCGAUUUUAUUGGUCAAUAAAAUUCUAUUCAAAUGGGUAUGAAAUUUUAAAACUACCAUGUAGGCCAAAAAAAUAAAAAAGAACAAAAGAACCAAAGUCAUAG
ensembl:lncRNA